GCAGUUAAAAAAAAAAUAACUGUAUGCAAAAAUUUCAUUUCAUCACACUCUAAUUCUCCUAAUCAGUAUAACUUAAAACAGUUUAUUCCAGCACCUAAAAUCAUCUUCAGUAUAAAAGAAAUUAAGGUAACAUAAUUUCACAAACACAACAACAACAGUAACUAGCAUAAAGCGUAUUCGACAAGCAUGAUCACCUUAAAUCUAGUGAUGCACAUAUAAUUCAAUUUUUCCUAAUACAUAAUUGAUUCACCAUAUCACAACCAUGUACAAACAUCUAACUUAUUUUCAAAUGAAAUCGGGUUAAUCUGUGAGUUGUUUUCUUCCAUUCUUUUUUUUUUUUCCUCUUUCUUUCAAACAACUUCAGAAAAGAUAAAAGAGAAGACGAUGAUUAAAUUAAAUUGGUUGUUGAGUUCCCUUCUUCUUGAACCGCCACUUUCACUCUUCUUCGUUGUUAUCGUCUCUGCUCGAAGCUGGUUAAUUACAUUGGGAACGCUAAUGUUUUUCUGAAACAAAACAACAACAUAAUUAAAAAUUUACAGUGGAGGAAGAAAAGUGUUUGAAUAACAUGUUGAAGAAAAACUUUUCUGUUUUUAAACAGAAACUUCUUGUUUUGAGGGAUUGAAACGCAAACUAUGAAUUCUAUUUUCUUUUUUAUAAAUAAAAUUAUCCUU
rnacentral:lncRNA from 1 species